rnacentral:lncRNA from 1 species
GUUGCCCCUUCACUUUGCCUAAUGUCUAUCAGGUUGGCCCUGAUAAAGCUAUUGCUGCAAAGCCUCUAGAUAUGCAGUAGAGAGGCUUUAGAGACAUCUUCUAGCUCAAUUGAAUGUGGGUAAACAAUCUGCUGAGUUUCAUUGUGGUUUUAAAGUAUGGUCCUCCAGACAUAAUUAGCAUACAACUUUCAGCAUUCUUUGCCAUUGGCUAUGUUGACUAUGGCUGUUGAGAGUUACUGCCCAGCAUUAUGGAGUACUGCAAUUUGCACAUCUCUACUGUAGAGUAUACUUGAAUGCAUGUAUACUCUACAGACACUGGCACAUCCUGUGAUUUCAUAUUUUGAAGAACAAUUGGCAGAGAAAUAUGCAAAUGCUAAAUACAAUGGAGUAACCUAUUCCCAGGUGAGAAAUCUUUCUUUAUCCAUUAUCAAUACCAGGGUGUUUGUGUGUACUCUGCUUCAUGAAAGACCACAAUAAUAAGUGUUAUACGUGCUUAAUGCUUAACAUACUUGUCACCGUCUUUACUUUUUUCA